GACGAACGCUGGCGGCGUGCCUAAUACAUGCAAGUAGAACGCAGUUGCGAACGGGGGAGUAACGCGUAGGUAACUGCCUCAUAGCGGGGGAUAACCAUUGGAAACGAUAGCUAAUUCCGCAUACUGUGAGAUGGACCUGCGUUGUAUUAGCUAGUUGGUGUGGUAAAGGCUCACCAAGGCGACGAUACAUAGCCGACCUGAGAGGGAGAACGGCCAAGCUGGGACUGAGACACAGGCCAGAUCCCUACCGGAGGCAGAAGGUGGUAAUCUUCGGUAAUGGACGGAAGUUGGAACGAGUGACGCCGCGUGGGUGAAGAAGGUUUUCGGAUCGUAAAACUAUGUUGUUAGAGAAGCGGUACCUAACCAGAAAGGGACGGCUAACUACGUGACAGCAGCCGCGGUAAUUC
rnacentral:rRNA from 1 species